rnacentral:rRNA from 1 species
AUUGAACGCUGGCGGAAUGCUUUACACAUGCAAGUCGAACGGCAGCAUAGGUGCUUGCACCUGAUGGCGAGUGGCGAACGGGUGAGUAAUAUAUCGGAACGUGCCCAGUCGUGGGGGAUAACGUAGCGAAAGCUACGCUAAUACCGCAUACGAUCUAUGGAUGAAAGCGGGGGACCUUCGGGCCUCGCGCGAUUGGAGAGGCCGAUAUCAGAUUAGGUAGUUGGUGAGGUAAAGGCCCACCAAGCCGACGAUCUGUAGCUGGUCUGAGAGGACGACCAGCCACACUGGGACUGAGACACGGCCCAGACUCCUACGGGAGGCAGCAGUGGGGAAUUUUGGACAAUGGACGCAAGUCUGAUCCAGCCAUUCCGCGUGCAGGACGAAGGCCUUCGGGUUGUAAACUGCUUUUGUACAGAACGAAAAGGUUUCUAUUAAUACUAGGGGCUCAUGACGGUACUGUAAGAAUAAGCACCGGCUAACUACGUGCCAGCAGCCGCCGUAA